GACGAACGCUGGCGGCGUGCCUAAUACAUGCAAGUAGAACGCAGUUGCGAACGGGUGAGUAACGCGUAGGUAACUGCCUCAUAGCGGGGGAUAACUAUUGGAAACGAUAGCUAAUACCGCAUACUUUGAGCUGGACCUGCGUUGUAUUAGCUAGUUGGUGAGGUAAAGGCUCACCAAGGCGACGAUACAUAGCCGACCUGAGAGGGGGAGCGGGCCCACAGGGGAUGAGAAAAUGCCCAGAAUUCUUCGGGGGGCAACCGUCGGGAAUCUUCGGACAUGGACGGAAGUCUGAACGAGCAAAGCCGCGUGAGUGAAGAAGGUUUUCGGAUCGUAAAGCUAUGUUGUUAGAGAAGCGGUAACUAAACAGAAAGGGACGGCUAACUACGUGCCAGCAGCCGCGGUAAUUC
rnacentral:rRNA from 1 species